rnacentral:misc_RNA from 1 species
GAUGAAGAACGCAGCGAAAUGCGAUAAGUAAUGUGAAUUGCAGAAUUCAGUGAAUCAUCGAAUCUUUGAACGCACAUUGCGCCCGCCAGUAUUCUGGCGAGCAUGCCUGUUCGAGCGUCAUUUCAACCAUCAAGCCCCAUGCUUGUGUUGGAGCCCUGCGGCUGCCGCAGCCUCCCAAAACCAGUGGCGGGCUCGCUAUCACACCGAGUGCAGUAGUUUACUCUUCGCUCAGGGCGUGUGGCGGGUGCUAGCCGUGAAACCCCCAACUUCUCAAGGUUGACCUCGGAUCAGGUAGGAAUACCCGCUGAACUUAAGCAUAUCAAUAAGCGGAGGA